UAACACUGGAGGUGUAUCUGUUAAUUGUUCCAGGAAACCCAGUUUAGCUGUAAUCUGUACUGAACAGAACCAUGUGGAAGAUGGCGUAUCGCUGUCUGAAGGCAAGCCACUAAAGCACCGAGGAUGACACAUUGUGAAGAGUGGAGAGGAGGGCAGAAAGUAGGAACAGCAACCUGGACUGUCCAGCUCAGAAGCUAAGCAGACAACGAUCAUCGAAAUGGGGUGUAUUUAUUGAGGCCAACUAACAUAGACUGAAGAUGAAAACAUUAUCCAGUGAUUAAGAAUCGAGAGAUUCUUUUUGGUUGGGGAAAGCACAGAGAUUUUAACUCCAGAAUUAAGCAAACUCUAGAUAUCGCAUAGAUUCAUCACACCAAGUACAUGAAAAAGAAACCACACAGGAGAACUGAACAAUUUGACUGGCCGUAUUUCAAGUUUUCAGUCUGGCUGUGUGCUUUGGGCAGAUGAAGCAAGAUUAAAUAAAGAGCUGAGGAUCAACUGGUGACAUUUCUGUCUGGAAUCCCAGCUACAUAAUUCAAGUAGGCAAGGUUCUUCUGUGGCACAGUCCCAGAGCAUCAACUCCAUGGCUCUAUACCAUCCUGAGCAUCGAGCAUCUGAUCCGUGGCUCUGUGCCAUCCUUCUACAGGGGCGUACCAUGGAGAUGUAUAAAGAAUGAGAGACACUAGCUGGUCCCAGUCUCCCCCCGCUCUGGACACAUAUACAGCAGAUGGCUGCCUGGACUGGCCUCAGUGGAAGAAGACAUGCCUAAAC